rnacentral:misc_RNA from 1 species
AAAGUCGUAACAAGGUUUCCGUAGGUGAACCUGCGGAAGGAUCAUUAUAGAGAACUGCCCCCGGGCAAAAAUCUCCCACCCUUUGUCUAUCAUGCCCUUGUUGCUUUGGCAGGCCCGCCCUAGGGCCGCCGGCUCCGGCUGGCCAGCGCCUGCCAGGGGACCACAACUCGAGUUAGUGUUGUCUGAGUACCAUUUAAUAGUUAAAACUUUCAACAACGGAUCUCUUGGUUCUG